UGUUUAGUGACACAAAUCAAAUGUUGGUGAC
rnacentral:piRNA from 1 species